UUCUGUGCUAUUUACUUGUUUAUGCCAUCUCCUCAUGCUCUCUGUUAAUUUACAGUUUAUUUGUUAGUAUUUCUGACAUCGGCGGGAAGUAACGUCCCCUCCCUCGCUGCACUGUGUGUGUGACAGACAUUGCUGUGAACUUCUGCUCCGCUGUGUGUGUAACAGGAUGCUUUAUCAGAUCUACCAAGCACCCCAUGCAUUCAAGUACUAGAUGAUGGAAGGUACAGCAUAUCGGUAGAUGAAAUUACAGUAAACCACAACAUCAGCUGUCCUUUGAUUGCGGUCAGCUACAUGUUUAGCCUCUUUUAUGUGCUAAACAUUAUGUACCCCAAGGGAGCAGCACUUACUCUGGAGUUUAUCCAAAGGAGUCUGCUCGGUAUAAAUCCUGAUCGUGGGUCCAAAGCGGAAAAAAAGGGAUCCAAACAGUACAGCAUUCCACCUAAACUCCUUAAAUUUCUUUCAGACCUUAAUGACUUCCAAAAUCCUUGGAAGAU